rnacentral:tRNA from 1 species
CGGGGUGUGGCGCAGUCCGGUUAGCGCGCGCCGUUUGGGACGGCGAGGUUCGUGGGUUCGAAUCCCACCACCCCGA